AUGGCUGUUCUUCUCCGAAUAUCUUGUUUUACCAGUUACCACCGCGGGGCUUGGGUUAAAGAAUGGGAGAUCGGUGCUGGAAGGAAGAAAGAUGGAGAUUGUUUGGAAACAAAGAUUAGAAAAAUGUUUAGGUUUAAUCAUGGACAAUGGAUAGGAUUAGGACUUAGGAAUAUAUGUAAACUCUUGUGUAAUCUUCUUAUAGUAUCUUGA